GAUGAAGAACGUAGCGAAAUGCGAUAAGUAAUGCGAAUUGCAGAAUUUCCGUGAAUCAUCGAAUCUUUGAACGCACAUUGCGCCCGCUGGUAUUCCGGCGGGCAUGCCUGUUCGAGCGUCAUUUCAACCCUCAAGCCCCCGGGUUUGGUGUUGGGGAUCGGCUCUGCCCUUCUGGGCGGUGCCGCCCCCGAAAUACAUUGGCGGUCUCGCUGCAGCCUCCAUUGCGUAGUAGCUAACACCUCGCAACUGGAACGCGGCGCGGCCAUGCCGUAAAACCCCAACUUCUGAAUGUUGACCUCGGAUCAGGUAGGAAUACCCGCUGAACUUAAGCAUAUCAAUAAGCGGAGGA
rnacentral:misc_RNA from 1 species